rnacentral:rRNA from 1 species
CCUACGGGGUGCAGCAGUGGGGAAUAUUGGACAAUGGGCGAAAGCCUGAUCCAGCCAUGCCGCGUGUGUGAAGAAGGCCUUCGGGUUGUAAAGCACUUUCAGUGGGGAAGAAAGCCUUGGGGCUAAUACCCUCGAGGAAGGACAUCACCCACAGAAGAAGCACCGGCUAACUCCGUGCCAGCAGCCGCGGUAAUACGGAGGGUGCGAGCGUUAAUCGGAAUUACUGGGCGUAAAGCGCGCGUAGGCGGUCUGAUAAGCCGGUUGUGAAAGCCCCGGGCUCAACCUGGGAACGGCAUCCGGAACUGUCAGGCUAGAGUGCAGGAGAGGAAGGUAGAAUUCCCGGUGUAGCGGUGAAAUGCGUAGAGAUCGGGAGGAAUACCAGUGGCGAAGGCGGCCUUCUGGACUGACACUGACGCUGAGGUGCGAAAGCGUGGGUAGCAAACAGGAUUAGAUACCCGAGUAGUU